GGAUAACUUUGUCAUUUUGCAUUGUCCGCAAACCAAAACCCUAGCUCAAUCAGCUUAUAUGUUAAAGAAACUCUCUCUCCCAUUUUGCUGCGCCUCCGCUCUAUAACCACCUUCGUUUUUGUAGCUGUCUUUACCCCCUUAACACCCAAUCUCAGGCCAAACUAUGCCGCCAAAGUUCGACCCAAGUCAGGUGGUGGACGUUUUCGUCAGGG
rnacentral:misc_RNA from 1 species